GUCAUGAUCGCUGGGAACCCAUCUUUUCCUCUAAAUUGAAGGGGCUGUUAGGAGUGAGGUGUCCUUCGCUGAUGGGAGAAAAAACACCUAAAUAAGAUGACUUUGAGCGUGAGACAGUGGUGAAAACGCCAA